CCUGCUUCUGGUUUGGUUUAGAGGCAAUUCAAAUAUCAUAUGUCUCCUAUAGUUCCGUCCCAUCUACAAUUUGCAUGUCUCAAUCUUCUUUUUUGUUAUCCACAGGCAAAAUAUUAUUCAGUGCAAGCUCCUUCCACCCUGAUAGGAAAAGAUUUUCCCCUGUAUUGUCUCAGCUUUAAGAAAGGCAGAAAAAGACAAGUAAAGUCACUUGUUUGGGAUUUCAAGGAACAGGGAAAAAAUGGAACCUCUGGCAAAUGGGAAUGUGAUCUACAUGGGAAAAUCUCUGAGAAGACACCUACUCUUCCAUUGGUCUUUGUCUCUGAGGCUCCUGGAGCUGCAGCCUCAUAGGAAUGGCUCCUUGUUGGAAACUGGGGCAAAAAAGUACAGCACUGGGGACUCCAGAUGCCAUGUGGUGAAGAUACUCAGGAAGCUCUAUCCUGUGGGAAGGUCCACAUGGAGAGGAACUGAGGCUGCCCACCAACAGCCAGCGAGGAAUUGGAACCUUCUGCCCAUAGCCAUGUGACUGAGUCAUCUUGGAAACAGUACCUCCAGCCACAGG